rnacentral:rRNA from 1 species
AUUGAACGCUAGCGGCAUGCUUUACACAUGCAAGUCGAACGAGUGGCGGACGGGUGAGUAAUAUAUCGGAACGUGCCCAGUAGCGGGGGAUAACUACUCGAAAGUGUGGCUAAUACCGCAUACUAUUGGAGCGGCCCAUAUCGGAUUAGCUAGUUGGUGGGGUAAAGGCUCACCUAGGCGACGAUCCCUAGCUGGUCUGAGAGGAUGAUCAGCCACACUGGAACUGAGACACGGCCCAGAGUCCUACGGGAGGCAGCAGUGGGGAAUAUUGCACAAUGGGCGCAAGCCGGAUGCAGCCAUGCCGCGUGUAUGAAGAAGGCCUUAGGGUUGUAAAGUACUUUCAGUCGGGAGGCGUUACCGGCAGAAGAAGCACCGGCUAACUCCGUGCCAGCAGCCGCGGUAAUUC